ACAAAGCAGCCCAAGGCAGUCUUCACAACAUUCAGCCUAAGCAGAGCACGCUGCUACCCAGCAGCCUCAUCCUUGAGCGCUCUCCCUCCCUCAUCUCUCCUCUGAUGCCUGCCUCCUUCCUCAGGGCCUGGAGAGAAAUCAUGAGAUGUGCUGGUAUUCUGCUGUGCAAGGAGAGCAGAGCAACUCAAAAAAAACACAGCCACUUGUAAAAGCAGGAAAGUAGGCAACAGGUUUGCUUUCCUAGCUGAGUUCAGGAACGAUACCCAACAACAGCCUGUUGUACUUUCCUGUCUACUUGGCCAUCUAUAACCUCUGAACAGCAACAACAUGGAAUCUGGGCAACAUGUGUGCCAGCUAGCUGCUGCAGCUGCUGCAGAAGGGCAGCCAGGCAGCUGGAAGCUGCAGACAGAAUGAGGUCACCCUGCCCCCUCGCAGCAUCAUCCUCAUGGAGCUGGGGCUGUACCCAAGGGGCAGGGAGCUCACCGGGAAGCAGGAUGGGAGAAUGGGACACCUAAAUUCAGAAUAUGAGCUGCAGAGGUACGAUGUGAACUGGACCAUCAGGAGGAAAGCCACCAUAGCACUCUCAACCCAUGAGUCAGCAAACCCCUGCCUCUCUUCUCUCUGCUGACUCAGACAAAUCUCGGAAGGGGGCAAGUCCAAAACUGCAUGACAUGACUUGUCCUUGCAUCUCCCUGGCAAUUACCCACUUACCACCGCACUGUCAGCAAUUGUGGCCAUUGGGCCAGACAAGAAACAAUAAAAAAGAUGUCUGGGGAAAAA